AUACGGAGGAUCCGAGCGUUAUCCGGAUUUAUCGGGUUUAAAGGGUGCGCAGGCGGCCAUUUAAGUCAGCGGUUAAAUCGUGGGGCUCAACCCCAUUCUGCCGUUGAUACUGGGUGGCUUGAUUGCGGUCGAGGUUGGCGGAAUUCGUUGUGUAGCGGUGAAAUGCAUAGAUAUGACGAAGAACACCGAUUGCGUAGGCAGCUGACCAGACCGCAAAUGACGCUCAUGCACGAAAGUGCGGGGAUCGAACAGGAUUAGAUACCCUGGUAGUCCGCACAGUAAACGAUGAAUACUUGUUUUCGGCGAUAUAAUGUCGGAGGCAAAGCGAAAGCGAUAAGUAUUCCACCUGGGGAGUACGCCGGCAACGGUGAAACUCAAAGGAAUUGACGGGG
rnacentral:rRNA from 1 species